rnacentral:rRNA from 1 species
GAUGAACGCUGGCGGCGUGCUUAACACAUGCAAGUCGAACGGAAAGGCUCCUGCUUGCAGGGGUACUCGAGUGGCGAACGGGUGAGUAACACGUGGGUGAUCUGCCCUGCACUUCGGGAUAAGCCUGGGAAACUGGGUCUAAUACCGGAUAGGACCACAUUUUGGAUGGUGUGGUGGAAAGUUUUUCGGUGUGGGAUGAGCUCGCGGCCUAUCAGCUUGUUGGUGGGGUAAUGGCCUACCAAGGCGUCGACGGGUAGCCGGCCUGAGAGGGUGUACGGCCACAUUGGGACUGAGAUACGGCCCAGACGCCUACGGGAGGCAGCAGUGGGGAAUAUUGCACAAUGGGCGCAAGCCUGAUGCAGCGACGCCGCGUGGGGGAUGACGGCCUUCGGGUUGUAAACUCCUUUCGCUAGGGACGAAGCGUUUUUGUGACGGUACCUGGAGAAGAAGCACCGGCUAACUACGU